UAUGUCUGCUGAUGGCAUAAUCGCACAGCUAACGUUAUAAACGCCCUUGAAAAAGAGGUGCACUUCUGUUUGACAUCUUAGUGGGAGUUUUCCACUGAUAGACAUCGCUGGUGUUUACAUAAAUAAAUCAAGGUUACUAUGGUGAAUAAUUUAUAUUAAAGUAGCACACAUUGCAGAAGAUGAAGUUCCACGUGAUGACAGUGACCUUUUCUGUUGUCUCCAUGGUGACAAACAUUUAUUGUGCUCCUGUAAAUGGCACACUGCCACAGCUAACAACGAGAGAGAUUGGGCAGUAUCUCUGCGAUACCGCAGAUAUCAAUAACGAUGGUAUCAUCAAUAAACUGGAAUGGCGUGUAACAUCGGCUCGGAUGGAUC